UGCCAUGUCCCCUUUUCCAACUUUCAGCGCAGAACUUCUGAAGGAGUGAAACGGUGGGGAACAGCACAUGGUAAAUCCCAGCCUGCCUCCUCACCUCCACUAAAAAAUUGCCUUAUCCAAACUGCCACUCCACCGCUCCCUGACGAAGUAGGAAAGCUGCACUUGUAACACUGGAAGAUGCCAGCGUAAAUUGCAGAAGAAAUAGAAAUACAAAGAAAUUUUGCGUGAAAGCAUCUUGUGAAGCAUUUUUCAUCAAAACCGCUUUCAAAAAGCACAAGACUGAUUCUUUACUCCCAUUAUGAUUUGGACAACAUGAUCAAACAAACACCUUCACACUCUCACCAUCUCUGCUUAAAGACAAUGUGUGAACG